rnacentral:rRNA from 1 species
CCCAGACUCCUACGGGAGGCAGCAGUGGGGGAUAUUGCACAAUGGGGGAAACCCUGAUGCAGCGACGCCGCGUGAAGGAAGAAGUAUCUCGGUAUGUAAACUUCUAUCAGCAGGGAAGAAAAUGACGGUACCUGACCAAGAAGCCCCGGCUAACUACGUGCCAGCAGCCGCGGUAAUACGUAGGGGGCAAGCGUUAUCCGGAUUUACUGGGUGUAAAGGGAGCGUAGGCGGCGACGCAAGUCAGAAGUGAAAGCCCGGGGCUCAACUCCGGGACUGCUUUUGAAACUGCGUUGCUAGAUUGCGGGAGAGGCAAGUGGAAUUCCUAGUGUAGCGGUGAAAUGCGUAGAUAUUAGGAGGAACACCAGUGGCGAAGGCGGCUUACUGGACGGUAACUGACGUUGAGGCUCGAAAGCGUGGGGAGCAAACAGGAUUAGAUACCCCAGUA